AUUGAACGCUGGCGGCAGGCCUAACACAUGCAAGUCGAGCGAGUGGCGGACGGGUGAGUAAUGUAUGGGGAACUGCCCGAUGGAGGGGGAUAACUACUGGAAACGGUAGCUAAUACCGCAUACCAUCGGAUGUACCCAGAUGGGAUUAGCUAGUAGGUGAGGUAAUGGCUCACCUAGGCGACGAUCCCUAGCUGGUCUGAGAGGAUGAUCAGCCACACUGGAACUGAGACACGGUCCAGACUCCUACGGGAGGCAGCAGUGGGGAAUAUUGCACAAUGGGCGCAAGCCUGAUGCAGCCAUGCCGCGUGUAUGAAGAAGGCCUUCGGGUUGUAAAGUACUUUCAGUCGGGAGGCGUUACCGACAGAAGAAGCACCGGCUAACUCCGUGCCAGCAGCCGCGGUAAUUC
rnacentral:rRNA from 1 species